rnacentral:rRNA from 1 species
GACGAACGCUGGCGGCGUGCCUAACACAUGCAAGUCGAGCGGAGACAGUGAGUAGCUUGCUACGAACUGUUUUAGCGGCGGACGGGUGAGUAACGCGUGAGCAACCUUUCCCAGACAGGGGAAUAACACACCGAAAGGUGUACUAAUACCGCAUAAGACCACGGUUUCACAUGGGACUGAGGUAAAAGAUUUAUCGGUUUGGGGUGGGCUCGCGUCCGAUUAGGUAGUUGGUGAGGUAACGGCCCACCAAGCCGACGAUCGGUAGCCGACCUGAGAGGGUGAUCGGCCACAUUGGGACUGAGACACGGCCCAAACUCCUACGGGAGGCAGCAGUGGGGAAUAUUGGGCAAUGGGGGGAACCCUGACCCAGCAACGCCGCGUGGAGGAAGAAGGUUUUCGGAUCGUAAACUCCUGUCCUUGGAGACGAGUAGAAGACGGUAUCCAAGGAGGAAGCCCCCGGCUAACUACGUG